rnacentral:lncRNA from 1 species
AAAAGUGUGGGCCUUAUCUCAAGGAGAAGUUCGAGAUAUCCUCAAAACACAUUCUCAUGUGUGGAAAGAUUCACAUUACGUUGAAGUUGCUACCUUAACUAGGUAUACAAGGUGAUUGGACAUGAAUUGAGAUUUACUGCUCCUCAUUUUGGAUUAACUAGCCAUAUAAAUAUUUCUCUUUCAAUAUUCUGUCAAUUAUAUGUUCUUUGAAUAACCGUUCAGAUUUUGAUUUGACCAUUUACAUUGUAUACACUAAUAAUCUAGUUAGAAGUUUAAGGCCUGGAGAUUUUGACAGACAUGUCACCGUCGAUAGGCUUGAUGUUGCUCGUAGAGUAAAGAUUCUUCAAUCUUCGGGUCAGUUAUCUCUUAUGGAAACUGUUAUAUACUCCGGCU